CCGACCUUAGCUCCGUUGGUAAAGCGGAGGACUCUGCUUGGAAUUACCAAGCAGUAUAAUCCUUAGGUCACUGGUUCGAUUCCUGUAGGUCGGA
rnacentral:tRNA from 1 species